rnacentral:rRNA from 1 species
UAGAGUUUGAUCCUGGCUCAGAAUCAACGCUGGCGGCGUGCCUAACACAUGCAAGUCGAACGAGAAAGCGGGGGCAACUCCGUGAGUAAAGUGGCAGACGGGUGAGUAACACGUGAACAACCUACCCUCGAGUGGGGAAUAACACCGCGAAAGCGGUGCUAAUACCGCAUAACAUUCCCGGAACGCAUGUUCUGGGAAUCAAGGGCGCAAGUCGCUUGAGGAGGGGUUCGCGCCUGAUUAGCUAGUUGGUGAGGUAACGGCCCACCAAGGCAAUGAUCAGUAGCCGGCCUGAGAGGGCGAACGGCCACACUGGAACUGAGACACGGUCCAGACUCCUACGGGAGGCAGCAGUGGGGAAUUUUGCGCAAUGGGCGAAAGCCUGACGCAGCAACGCCGCGUGGAGGAUGAAGGCCUUCGGGUCGUAAACUCCUGUCAGCAGGGACGAAUGCUUCGCAAGAAGUUUGACUGUACCUGUUGAGGAAGCCACGGCUAACUCCGUGCCAGCAGCCGCGGUAAUACGGGGGUGGCAAGCGUUGUUCGGAAUUACUGGGCGUAAAGGGCGCGUAGGCGGCAUUACAAGUCAGAUGUGAAAUCCCUGGGCUUAACUCAGGAAUUGCAUCUGAAACUGUUUUGCUUGAGUCCUGGAGGGGGUAGUGGAAUUCCCAGUGUAGCGGUGAAAUGCGUAGAUAUUGGGAGGAACACCUGCGGCGAAGGCGGCUACCUGGACAGUGACUGACGCUGAGGCGCGAAAGCUAGGGGAGCGAACGGGAUUAGAUACCCCGGUAGUCCUAGCCGUAAACGAUGGGCACUUGGUGUUGGGGGUAUUGAGUCCCCCGGUGCCGGAGUUACACGUUAAGUGCCCGCCUGGGGAGUACGUCGCAGACUGAAACUCAAGGAUUG